rnacentral:rRNA from 1 species
UACGUAGGGGGCAAGCGUUGUCCGGAUUUAUUGGGCGUAAAGCGCUCGCAGGUGGUUCGUUGCGUCGUGCGUGAAAGACCCCGGCUCAACUGGGGGGUGUCGUGCGAUACGGGCGAACUGGAGGCCAGUAGGGGGAUGCGGAAUUCCGGGUGUAGUGGUGGAAUGCGUAGAUAUCUGGAGGAACACCCGUGGUGCAGACGGCUUGCUGGACCGUGACUGACGCUGAGGCACGAAAGCGUGGGGAGCGAACAGG